CCGUCAAAUCCAAUGUCUCAAGCUUUGGUCUGCGGGAAAUACUGUUUAACUAGAGAGUGGGAGACUGUCAGCGGUAUUCUGGUGGGUAGGGGCGAAAUCCUUUGAUCCCCGGAGGACCACCAGUGGCGAAGGCUGCUGACUAGCACACUGUCUGACGGUCAGGGACGAAAGCUGGGGUGACGAACCGGAUUAGAUACCCGGGUAUUCCCAGCUGUAAACGAUGCAUGCUAGGUUGUUGGGUUGCCCACGAGCCACCCCGUCGCCGCAGGGAAGCCGUUAAGCAUGCCGCCUGGGUAAGUACGAUCGCAAGAUUGAAACUUAAAGGAAUUGGCGGGGGAGCACCACCAGGCGUGAACGCUGCGGUUUAAUUGGAGUCAACGCCGGGAAUCUUACCGGAAGCGACAGCAGAGUGAAGCCCAGAUUGAAGAUCUUCCCAGACGAGCUGAGAGGAGGUGCAUGGCCGUCGCCAGUUCGUGCCGUGAGGUGUUCUCUUAAGUGAGAUAACGAACGAGACCCGUGCCACAUGUUGCCAUCAGAAUCUAAAGGAUUGCUGGGCACUCUUGUGGGACCGCACGCCGAUAAGGCUGAGGAAGGAGCGGGCAACGGCAGGUCAGUAUGCCCCGAAUCUCCCGGGCCACACGCGGGCUGCAAUGGUAUGGACAGAGGGCUGCAACCCCGAAAGGGGAAGCCAAUCCCUAAACCAUACCUCAGUUGGGAUUGAGGGUGCAACCCGCCCUCAUGAACAUGGAAUGCCUA
rnacentral:rRNA from 1 species